CCCCUAGAUGUUCUGGGCCGCACGCGCGCUACACUGAACAGUUCAACAAGUCUUAACCUUGGCCGAUAGGUCUGGGUAAUCUUUGAACGCUGUUCGUGAUUGGGAUAGACCUUUGCAAUUAUGGGACUUCAACGAGGAAUUCCUAGUAAACGCAAGUCAUCAGCUUGCAUUGAUUACGUCCCUGCCCUUUGUACACACCGCCCGUCGCACCUACCGAUUGAAUGGUCCGGUGAAAUCUCGGGACGGCGGCUUGGUCGCUUGCGUCCGACUGCUGAAACUUGAUUAAACCAUAUCAUUUAGAGGAAGGUGAAGUCGUAACA
rnacentral:rRNA from 1 species